rnacentral:tRNA from 1 species
GAGGUUGUGGCUCAGUGGUAGAGCACUUGUCUGCCUAGCAUGUGUGAGGCACUGGGUUUGAUUCUCAGCACUGCA